rnacentral:rRNA from 1 species
AGAGUUUGAUCCUGGCUCAGAUUGAACGCUGGCGGAACGCUUUACACAUGCAAGUCGAACGGUAACGCGGAGAGAAGCUUGCUUCUCCCCGGCGACGAGUGGCGAACGGGUGAGUAAUACAUCGGAACGUGUCCGCUCGUGGGGGACAACAGCCGAAAGGUUGGCUAAUACCGCAUGAGUUCUACGGAAGAAAGAGGGGGACCCGCAAGGGCCUCUCGCGAGCGGAGCGGCCGAUGACUGAUUAGCCGGUUGGUGAGGUAACGGCUCACCAAAGCAACGAUCAGUAGCUGGUCUGAGAGGACGACCAGCCACACUGGGACUGAGACACGGCCCAGACUCCUACGGGAGGCAGCAGUGGGGAAUUUUGGACAAUGGGCGCAAGCCUGAUCCAGCUAUUCCGCGUGUGGGAUGAAGGCCCUCGGGUUGUAAACCACUUUUGUAGAGAACGAAAAGACACCUUCGAAUAAAGGGUGUUGCUGACGGUACUCUAAGAAUAAGCACCGGCUAACUACGUGCCAGCAGCCGCGGUAAUACGUAGGGUGCGAGCGUUAAUCGGAAUUACUGGGCGUAAAGGGUGCGCAGGCGGUUGAGUAAGACAGAUGUGAAAUCCCCGAGCUUAACUCGGGAAUGGCAUAUGUGACUGCUCGACUAGAGUGUGUCAGAGGGAGGUGGAAUUCCACGUGUAGCAGUGAAAUGCGUAGAUAUGUGGAAGAACACCGAUGGCGAAGGCAGCCUCCUGGGACAUAACUGACGCUCAGGCACGAAAGCGUGGGGAGCAAACAGGAUUAGAUACCCUGGUAGUCCACGCCGUAAACGAUGUUAACUAGUUGUUGGGAAGUAAUAUUCUCAGUAACGCAGCCAACGCGAGAAGUUAACCGCCUGGGAAGUACGGUCGCAAGACUAAAACUCAAAGGAAUUGAC